rnacentral:rRNA from 1 species
AGCGAACGCUGGCGGCAGGCCUAACACAUGCAAGUCGAGCGGCCGUAGCAAUACGGCAGCGGCAGACGGGAGAGUAACACGUGGGAACGCGCCCUUCGGUUCGGGAUAACUCAGGGAAACUUGGGCUAAUACCGGAUACGCCCUUACGGGGAAAGAUUUAUUGCCGAAGGAACGGCCCGCGUCCGAUUAGCUUGUUGGUGAGGUAACGGCUCACCAAGGCGACGAUCGGUAGCUGGUCUGAGAGGAUGACCAGCCUCACUGGGACUGAGACACGGCCCAGACUCCUACGGGAGGCAGCAGUGGGGAAUAUUGGACAAUGGGCGCAAGCCUGAUCCAGCCAUGCCGCGUGGGUGAUGAAGGCCCUAGGGUUGUAAAGCCCUUUCAGCGGGGAAGAUAAUGACGGUACCCGCAGAAGAAGCCCCGGCUAACUUCGUGCCAGCAGCCGCAGUAAAAC